rnacentral:rRNA from 1 species
GGCGGCUCGAGUGGUGGCCACUAUUACUGGGCUUAAAGCGUUCGUAGCUGGUUUGUUAAGUCUCUGGGGAAAUCUUCCGGCUUAACCGGAAGGCGUCUCAGGGAUACUGGCAGACUAGGGACCGGGAGAGGUGAGGGGUACUCCAGGGGUAGGAGUGAAAUCCUGUAAUCCUUGGGGGACCACCUGUGGCGAAGGCGCCUCACCAGAACGGCUCCGACAGUGAGGGACGAAAGCUGGGGGGGCAAACCG